UACGUAGGGUGCGAGCGUUAAUCGGAAUUACUGGGCGUAAAGCGUGCGCAGGCGGCGCGUUAAGACAGGUGUGAAAGCCCCGAGCUUAACUUGGGAAUUGCGCUUGUGACUGGCGUGCUGGAGUGUGGCAGAGGGAGGUGGAAUUCCACGUGUAGCAGUGAAAUGCGUAGAUAUUGGGAGGAACACCAGUGGCGAAGGCGGCUCGCUGGACCGGUUCUGACGCUGAGGCGCGAAAGCGUGGGGAGCAAACGGG
rnacentral:rRNA from 1 species